rnacentral:rRNA from 1 species
UACGGAGGGUGCAAGCGUUAUCCGGAUUCACUGGGUUUAAAGGGUGCGUAGGUGGGCAGGUAAGUCAGUGGUGAAAUCCCCGAGCUUAACUUGGGAACUGCCAUUGAUACUAUUUGCCUUGAAUACUGUGGAGGUUAGCGGAAUAUGUCAUGUAGCGGUGAAAUGCUUAGAUAUGACAUAGAACAUCAAUUGCGAGGGCAGCUGGCUACACAAAUAUUGACACUGAUGCACGAAAGCGUGGGGAUCAAACAGG